ensembl:lncRNA
CAACAACUCCCACGACAACCGGAACCACCACCAUGCCGACCACUGCCGCGACGUCAACCACUACUGCAACGACUACAACUCCCACGACAACCGGAACCACCACCAUGCCGACCACUGCCGCGAUGUCAACAGCUACUGCAACGGCUACAACUCCCACGACAACCCAAAGCACAACAGCUCCAACCACUACCGCGACGUCAACUACUACAGCAACGACAACAACUCCCACGACAACCCAAAGCACAACAGCUCCAACCACUACCGCGACGUCAACUACUACUGCAACGACAACAACUCCCACGACAACCGGAACCACCACCACGCCGACCACUGCUGCGGCAUCACCCACUACCGCGACUUCAACUACUACUGAAAUGACUAGAACUCCCACGACAACCGAAACAACCACCACCCUGACAAGUACCACGAUGUCAACUACUUCCGAAACGACAACAACUCCCACGACAACCGGAACCACCACCAUGCCGACGACUGCCGCGACGUCAACCACUACUGCAACGACUACAACUCCCACGACAACCGGAACCACCACCAUGCCGACCACUGCCGCGAUGUCAACAGCUUCUGCAACGGCUACAACUCCCACGACAACCCAAAGCACAACAGCUCCAACCACUACCGCGACGUCAACUACUACAGCAACGACAACAACUCCCACGACAACCCAAAGCACAACAGCUCCAACCACUACCGCGACGUCAACUACUACUGCAACGACAACAACUCCCACGACAACCCAAAGCAUCACCAUGCCAACCACUACCACGACGUCAACUACUCCAGCAACGACAACAACUCCCACAACAACCGGAACCACCACCAUGCUGACCACUGCCGCGACGUCAACCACUACUGCAACGACAACAACUCCCACGACAACCCAAAGCACAACAGCUCCAACCACUACCGCGACGUCAACUACUACAGCAACGACUACAACUCCCAUGACAACCGGAACCACCACCACGCCGACCACUGCUGCGGCAUCACCGAAUACCGCGACUUCAACUACUACUGAAACGACUAGAACUCCCACGACAACCGAAACAACCACCACCCUGACAAGUACCACGACGUCAACAGCUACUCCAACGACUACAACUCCCACGACAACCGAAACCACCACCAUGCCGACCACUGCCGCGACGUUAACUACUACUGCAACGACGAGAACUCCCACGACAACCGAAAGCAUAACCAUGACAACCACUACCGCGACGUCAACUACUACAGCAAUGACAACAACUCCCACGACAACCCAAAGCACAACAGCUCCAACCACUACCGCGACGUCAACUACUACUGCAACGACUACAACUCCCACGACAACCGGAACCACCACCAUGCCGACCACUGCCGCGACGUCAACCACUACUGCAACGACUACAACUCCCACGACAACCGGAACCACCACCAUGCCGGCCACUGCCGCGAUGUCAACAGCUACUGCAACGACAACAACUCCCACGAGAACCCAAAGCACAACAGCUCCAACCACUACCGCGACGUCAACUACUACAGCAACGACUACAACUCCCAUGACAACCGGAACCACCACCACGCCGACCACUGCUGCGGCAUCACCGAAUACCGCGAUUUCAACUACUACUGAAACGACUAGAACUCCCACGACAACCGAAACAACCACCAUGCCGACCACUGCCGCGAUGUCAACAGCUACUGCAACGGCUACAACUCCCACGACAACCCAAAGCACAACAGCUCCAACCACUUCUGCGACGUCAACUACUACAGCAACGACAACAACUCCCACGACAACCCAAAGCACAACAGCUCCAACCACUACCGCGACGUCAACUACUACUGCAACGACUACAACUCCCACGACAACCGGAACCACCACCACGCCGACCACUGCUGCGGCAUCACCCACUACCGCGACUUCAACUACUACUGAAAUGACUAGAACUCCCACGACAACCGAAACAACCACCACCCUGACAAGUACCACGAUGUCAACUACUUCCGAAACGACAACAACUCCCACGACAACCGGAACCACCACCAUGCCGACGACUGCCGCGACGUCAACCACUACUGCAACGACUACAACUCCCACGACAACCGGAACCACCACCAUGCUGACCACUGCCGCGACGUCAACCACUAUUGCAACCACUACAACUCCCACGACAACCGGAACCACCACCAUGUCGACCACUGCCGCGAUGUCAACAGCUACAGCAACGACAACAACUCCCACAACAACCGAAAGCAUAACCACGCCAACCAGUACCGCGAGAUCAACUACUCCCGCAACGACAACAACUCCCACGACAACCGGAACAACCACCAUGCCGGCCACUGCCGCGAUGUCAACAGCUACUGCAACGGCUACAACUCCCACGACAACCCAAAGCACAACAGCUCCAACCACUGCCGCGACGUCAACUACUACAGCAACGACAACAACUCCCACGACAACCCAAAGCACAACAGCUCCAACCACUACCGCGACGUCAACUACUACUGCAACGACUACAACUCCCACGACAACCGGAACCACCACCACGCCGACCACUGCUGCGGCAUCACCCACUACCGCGACUUCAACUACUACUGAAAUGACUAGAACUCCCACGAUAACCGAAACAACCACCACCCUGACAAGUACCACGAUGUCAACUACUUCCGAAACGACAACAACUCCCACGACAACCGGAACCACCACCAUGCCGACGACUGCCGCGACGUCAACCACUACUGCAACGACUACAACUCCCACGACAACCGGAACCACCACCAUGCCGACCACUGCCGCGAUGUCAACAGCUACUGCAACGGCUACAACUCCCACGACAACCCAAAGCACAACAGCUCCAACCACUUCUGCGACGUCAACUACUACAGCAACGACAACAACUCCCACGACAACCCAAAGCACAACAGCUCCAACCACUACCGCGACGUCAACUACUACUGCAACGACAACAACUCCCACGACAACCGGAACCACCACCACGCCGACCACUGCUGCGGCAUCACCCACUACCGCGACUUCAACUACUACUGAAAUGACUAGAACUCCCACGACAACCGAAACAACCACCACCCUGACAAGUACCACGAUGUCAACUACUUCCGAAACGACAACAACUCCCACGACAACCGGAACCACCACCAUGCCGACGACUGCCGCGACGUCAACCACUACUGCAACGACUACAACUCCCACGACAACCGGAACCACCACCAUGCCGACCACUGCCGCGAUGUCAACAGCUUCUGCAACGGCUACAACUCCCACGACAACCCAAAGCACAACAGCUCCAACCACUACCGCGACGUCAACUACUACAGCAACGACAACAACUCCCACGACAACCCAAAGCACAACAGCUCCAACCACUACCGCGACGUCAACUACUACUGCAACGACAACAACUCCCACGACAACCCAAAGCAUCACCAUGCCAACCACUACCACGACGUCAACUACUCCAGCAACGACAACAACUCCCACAACAACCGGAACCACCACCAUGCUGACCACUGCCGCGACGUCAACCACUACUGCAACGACAACAACUCCCACGACAACCCAAAGCACAACAGCUCCAACCACUACCGCGACGUCAACUACUACAGCAACGACUACAACUCCCAUGACAACCGGAACCACCACCACGCCGACCACUGCUGCGGCAUCACCGAAUACCGCGACUUCAACUACUACUGAAACGACUAGAACUCCCACGACAACCGAAACAACCACCACCCUGACAAGUACCACGACGUCAACAGCUACUCCAACGACUACAACUCCCACGACAACCGAAACCACCACCAUGCCGACCACUGCCGCGACGUUAACUACUACUGCAACGACGAGAACUCCCACGACAACCGAAAGCAUAACCAUGACAACCACUACCGCGACGUCAACUACUACAGCAAUGACAACAACUCCCACGACAACCCAAAGCACAACAGCUCCAACCACUACCGCGACGUCAACUACUACUGCAACGACUACAACUCCCACGACAACCGGAACCACCACCAUGCCGACCACUGCCGCGACGUCAACCACUACUGCAACGACUACAACUCCCACGACAACCGGAACAACCACCAUGCCGGCCACUGCCGCGAUGUCAACAGCUACUGCAACGACAACAACUCCCACGAGAACCCAAAGCACAACAGCUCCAACCACUACCGCGACGUCAACUACUACAGCAACGACUACAACUCCCAUGACAACCGGAACCACCACCACGCCGACCACUGCUGCGGCAUCACCGAAUACCGCGAUUUCAACUACUACUGAAACGACUAGAACUCCCACGACAACCGAAACAACCACCAUGCCGACCACUGCCGCGAUGUCAACAGCUACUGCAACGGCUACAACUCCCACGACAACCCAAAGCACAACAGCUCCAACCACUUCUGCGACGUCAACUACUACAGCAACGACAACAACUCCCACGACAACCCAAAGCACAACAGCUCCAACCACUACCGCGACGUCAACUACUACUGCAACGACUACAACUCCCACGACAACCGGAACCACCACCACGCCGACCACUGCUGCGGCAUCACCCACUACCGCGACUUCAACUACUACUGAAAUGACUAGAACUCCCACGACAACCGAAACAACCACCACCCUGACAAGUACCACGAUGUCAACUACUUCCGAAACGACAACAACUCCCACGACAACCGGAACCACCACCAUGCCGACGACUGCCGCGACGUCAACCACUACUGCAACGACUACAACUCCCACGACAACCGGAACCACCACCAUGCUGACCACUGCCGCGACGUCAACCACUAUUGCAACCACUACAACUCCCACGACAACCGGAACCACCACCAUGUCGACCACUGCCGCGAUGUCAACAGCUACAGCAACGACAACAACUCCCACAACAACCGAAAGCAUAACCACGCCAACCAGUACCGCGAGAUCAACUACUCCCGCAACGACAACAACUCCCACGACAACCGGAACAACCACCAUGCCGGCCACUGCCGCGAUGUCAACAGCUACUGCAACGGCUACAACUCCCACGACAACCCAAAGCACAACAGCUCCAACCACUGCCGCGACGUCAACUACUACAGCAACGACAACAACUCCCACGACAACCCAAAGCACAACAGCUCCAACCACUGCCGCGACGUCAACCACUACUGCAACGACAACAACUCCCACGACAACCCAAAGCAUCACCAUGCCAACCACUACCACGACGUCAACUACUCCAGCAACGACAACAACUCCCACAACAACCGGAACCACCACCAUGCUGACCACUGCCGCGACGUCAACCACUACUGCAACGACAACAACUCCCACGACAACCGGAACCACCACCAUGCUGACCACUGCCGCGACGUCAACCACUACUGCAACGACAACAACUCCCACGACAACCCAAAGCACAACAGCUCCAACCACUACCGCGACGUCAACUACUACAGCAACGACUACAACUCCCAUGACAACCGGAACCACCACCACGCCGACCACUGCUGCGGCAUCACCGAAUACCGCGACUUCAACUACUACUGAAACGACUAGAACUCCCACGACAACCGAAACAACCACCACCCUGACAAGUACCACGACGUCAACAGCUACUCCAACGACUACAACUCCCACGACAACCGAAACCACCACCAUGCCGACCACUGCCGCGACGUUAACUACUACUGCAACGACGAGAACUCCCACGACAACCGAAAGCAUAACCAUGACAACCACUACCGCGACGUCAACUACUACAGCAAUGACAACAACUCCCACGACAACCCAAAGCACAACAGCUCCAACCACUACCGCGACGUCAACUACUACUGCAACGACUACAACUCCCACGACAACCGGAACCACCACCAUGCUGACCACUGCCGCGACGUCAACCACUACUGCAACGACUACAACUCACACGACAACCGGAACAACCACCAUGCCGGCCACUGCCGCGAUGUCAACAGCUACUGCAACGACAACAACUCCCACGAGAACCCAAAGCACAACAGCUCCAACCACUACCGCGACGUCAACUACUACAGCAACGACUACAACUCCCAUGACAACCGGAACCACCACCACGCCGACCACUGCUGCGGCAUCACCGAAUACCGCGAUUUCAACUACUACUGAAACGACUAGAACUCCCACGACAACCGAAACAACCACCACCCUGACAAGUACCACGACGUCAACAGCUACUCCAACGACUACAACUCCCACGACAACCGAAACCACCACCAUGCCGACCACUGCCGCGACGUUAACCACUACUGCAACGACGAGAACUCCCACGACAACCGAAAGCAUAACCAUGCCAACCACUACCACGAUGUCAACAGCUACUGCAACGGCUACAACUCCCACGAUAACCGGAACAACCACCACCCUGACAAGUACCACGAUGUCAACUACUACUGAAACGACAACAACUCCCACGACAACCGGAACCACCACCAUGCCGACGACUGCCGCGACGUCAACCACUACUGCAACGACUACAACUCCAACGACAACCGGAACCACCACCAUGCCGACCACUGCCGCGAUGUCAAGAGCUUCUGCAACGGCUACAACUCCCACGACAACCCAAAGCACAACAGCUCCAACCACUACCGCGACGUCAACUACUACUGCAAUGACUACAACUCCCACGACAACCGGAACCACCACCAUGCCGACCACUGCCGUGACGUCAACCACUACUGCAACGAAUACAACUCCCACGACAACCGGAACCACCACCAUGUCGACCACUGCCGCGACGUCAACCACUACUGCAACGACUACAACUCCAACGACAUCCGGAACCACCACCAUGCCGACCACUGCCGCGAUGUCAACAGCUACUGCAACGGCUACAACUCCCACGACAACCCAAAGCACAACAGCUCCAACCACUUCUGCGACGUCAACUACUACAGCAACGACAACAACUCCCACGACAACCCAAAGCACAACAGCUCCAACGACUACCACGACGUCAACUACUACUGCAACGACUACAACUCCCACGACAACCGGAACCACCACCAUGCCGACCACUGCCGUGACGUCAACCACUACUGCAAAGAAUACAACUCCCACGACAACCAGAACCACCACCAUGUCGACCACUGCCGCGACGUCAACCACUACUGAAACGACCACAACUCCCAUGACAACCGAAACCACCACCAUGCCGACCACUGCCGCGACGUCAACAGCUACAGCAACGACAACAACUCCCACAACAACCGAAAGCAUAACCACACCAACCACUACCGCGACGUCAACAGCUGCAGCAAUGACAACAACUCCCACGACAACCGAAAGCAUAACCAUGCCAACCACUGCCACGACGUCAACUACUACAGCAACGACAACAACUCCCACGACAACUGAAAGCAUAACCACGCCAACCAGUACCGCGAGAUCAACUACUCCCGCAACGACUACAACUCCCACGACAACCGGAACCACCACCAUGCCGGCCACUGCCGCGAUGUCAACAGCUACUGCAACGACUACAACUCACACGACAACCGGAACCACCACCACGCCGACCACUGCUGCGGCAUCACCGAAUACCGCGACUUCAACUACUACUGAAACGACUAGAACUCCCACGACAACCGAAACAACCACCACCCUGACAAGUACCACGACAUCAACAGCUACUCCAACGACUACAACUCCCACGACAACCGAAACCACCACCAUGCCGACCACUGCCGCGACGUUAACUACUACUGCAACGACGAGAACUCCCACGACAACCGAAAGCAUAACCACGACAACCACUACCGCGACGUCAACUACUACUGCAACUACUACAACUCCCACGAUAACCGGAACCACCACCACGCCGACCACUGCUGCGGCAUCACACACUACCGCGACUUCAACUACUACUGAAAUGACUAGAACUCCCACGACAACCGAAACAACCACCACCCUGACAAGUACCACGAUGUCAACCACUACUGCAACGACUACAACUCCCACAACAACCGGAACCACCACCAUGCCGACCACUGCCGCGAUGUCAACAGCUUCUGCAAUGGCUACAACUCCCACGACAACCCAAAGCACAACAGCUCCAACCACUACCGCGACGUCAACUACUACUGCAACGAAUACAACUCCCACGACAACCGGAACCACCACCAUGCCGACCACUGCCGCGAUGUCAACAGCUACUGCAACGGCUACAACUCCCACGACAACCCAAAGCACAAUAGCUCCAACCACAACCGCGACGUCAACUACGACUGCAACGACAACAACUCCCACGACUACCGAAAGCAUAACCACGCCAACCACUACCGCGACAUCAACAGCUACAGCAACGACAACUCCCACAACAACCGAAAGCAUAACCACGCCAACCACUACCACGACGUCAACUACUACUGCAACGACUACAACUCCCACGACUACCGAAACCACCACCACCACGCCGACCACUGCCGCGGCGUCAACUACUACUGAAACGACUACAACUCCCACGACAACCGACACCACCACCUCCACGCCGACCACUGCUGCGGCAUCACCCACUACCGCGACUUCAACUACUACUGAAAUGACUAGAACUCCCACGACAACCGAAAGAACCACCACCCUGACAAGUACCACGAUGUCAACCACUACUGAAACGACUACAACACCCACGACAACUGAAAGCACAACCACUCCGACCACCACCGUGACGUCAACUACUACUGAAACGACUACAACUCCAAAGGCAAUUGAAACCAUAUCUACUCUGAUCACAACAGUGAUAUCAGAUACUACAGAAAUGACUACAACGACAAUGACAACCGAAACCACAACCACCACAACCACUCCGACCACUACCACGACGUCAACUACUACUGAAAUGAUUAAAACUCCUAAGUCAAUUGAAACCACAACCAUUCCGAUUGAAAACAGUACUCCUCCGACAACUGCCACGUCAUCUAAAACUGAAACCAGUAGCACUCUGAUCACUACUGCAACAUCACCUACAACUGGAUCAUCAGCAAUGCUUCCAGCAUUGACAACAACUCCGACCACUACAGUUACACCAACAACAGUUUCCAUGGCCCAGGAAACCAUAACUGCCUUAACUGCUCUGACAAAUGCAGCAGCAGGUGGAAAUUCUGUAGCCACAAGUUUCCCUGGAUUUACAAGUGCUGCAUCCACAUAUAUAGCGACAAAACUGCCAUCAGAUGCAGUGCAGACGACAAAUAUGUUAACAGCUACUCUUGCCCCAGAAACAGCAUCCUCCACAAGGUCUCAAACCCAGGGAUCAGCGCGUCUCGUCAUCCUCCUGACGUUUGAAAAUGCAAAUCCAUUGCUCAAUGAGAGUGGCGUGCUGAAUGCAACAAACACUUUCUUGGACUCGCGACUCACGGCCUCGAACAGCUCGCAGAGGCUCCAGAGUUACACUUAUAAAGGUGAGUUUGCCGACACUGUACGCCACUCCUCAUGUCCCCGAUUUCGCCUUUUCCUUGGCGGCCGGCUGCAAAACGUGUACGUGGGGCAGGAAAGCAGUUUUAUGCUAUUGCUAUUUUUUGCACAAGUCUCAGGCCCGGGAGUCAGCGUGUUUCAGCGCUCACCGGAAUCUGAUUAACUGAACGUCAUGGAAACGCAUUAACGAUGCCGGGCUCUCCCUCUCUCUUCCUCCUAGCACAGCUCCGGAAAGUACGGUGUUAGCCGUGCACCUUGCACCCAGAACAGGUGUUCCACCUGUACUGCUUCAAGUAGCGUAAAGCAAGGCUCAACAUUGUAUUUCCGCUGUUCUUCUAGAGGUGUCCAACAGCUCCUUUGUGCUCAACUUUACCUUCUCGAUGGGGAACGUCACCAUCUCUCCGAAUGAUCAGGUCAUGAAUGCCACUUACAGCCAGAUCCAGGACACCAUCAAUACUCUGGUGAGGUCGCCAGUCAUCGCAGAGGACAUAGGAGCCGCGCACAUGUUCACACUCCGUCUUGGCGCUACAGCGAAUGUAGCAGCAGCUAUACUUUUGCUAUUCCCUGAAUAUGGCAAGGCAGUAGUUUUCACGCGUUUGCGUAGCUCUCGUAGGCUUCUAAGGCCGAUUCUUGCCUAACCCGUCAUCUCGUUUUCUCUCUCGUUGGAUGUUCAAACCCCAGAUGAACAGAAUGCUGAACAGUCAACCAGCAACUCCCGUCGUCUUUCCACGGGCAAAUUUCACGUAAGUCACGUUCUCCCGGUGGCAAGCUAAAUGCGAAGUGGCAAAAAUG